CUAUGCCUAAACCCUAAUGGUUUGGAAGUCAAACACCGAAUCCAUCGACAAGCGCGGUCGAUCUAUAGGUGCAUGCAGGAAAGAACAGCAAGAGUAGGUCAGCAGCACAAGCAGCAACAAGAAGAACAGACAGAAAAUAAGCCAUAGAUCAGAUCCAGAUCCAAGCAUUUCUUAGAUGGCCGGUGCGGGCGACCCCCGUGAGUGCUUAAUCAAGAUCUACAGAACACAAUUAAGCUACACACACAACCAGGCACGAACACACGCCCGGUCUUUCUACAACCGCCACACGUACAACGAGACGCAUUAUUCAGCAGUCCAGUAUAGCUAGCUGCGUAGGCUCAAACUAACCACCUCGUUGCACGCACGCGCGCAGCCAUGCUCGAUCGCUAGGAGCCGCCGCAGUUGCCGGUGUCCUCGUUUCCUCCUCCUCCUCCCCCGCCGCCGCCACCGCCGGAAGUCGUUGGCGUCCCGCCGCCGCCGGUCCAGUCGGCGAUGAUGGUCUUGAUGAUGCUGCCCCGCUUGGGGUUCCGGUUCCCGUCGGGCUUGGGCCUCUGGCCCUGGCCGCCAUCCUGCCCAUCCAUGGCGUCGCGCGCGUGCAAGCAAGCCCCGGCCGGCCGGCCCAGAGAAGCGUAGGCGAGUGGACGAGUGUGGUGGGUGCGUGCGAGCUAGAGUGGGAGGCUGCGGGCUACGGGGAGGUGGCUUUGUAGCGGUGAAUGGCAUUUGUUAACAGUAAUUGUUAGGGCUUUUCUUUUCAUUUGAUCUCACGGCGUGAAGUAUUCUUGCAAGUAAGCCCGCGACUAAUCGACGACCAUGACGAGGGGUUCUGCGGCAGGUGACCAUACCAGAGGGGGUGGUUUAGUCUCAUUCUUAUACAAUGCAGGGGGUUCACUUGGAAGUAGCUUAGUAACUUUCUUCUGGC
rnacentral:rRNA from 1 species